AUGUUUGCCACAACUGUUUCAGUGCUAAGAAGUGUAGCAGCUGAUCGUUCAGCUACAAGGAACUCAAGAGGUGAUGCUGGAGGUGCCCUGAAAAUCCUACUCACAUUUGAUUUUGUGUUCAUUCUACACUUAAUGGAAAGAAUCAUGAAAAUCACAAAUGUCUUGUAUCUCAAACUUCAACAUAAAUCUUUGGACAUUGCAAAUGCAUUAGAUUGUGUUUCUAACACAAAGGUGUUGCUUGACGAACUAAGAGAAGAUGGAUGGGACAGCCUUUUUGAAGAUGUGAAAUCCUUUUAUGUGAAACAUGAGAUUGACAUUCCGGACAUGGAUCAAAAGUAUGUUGAUGUGACAAAAUCUCAAAAUAAGCAUGACAACACCACAUUUAUCCAUCAUUACAAAGUAGAUGUGUUUAAUGUUGCAAUUGAUCAACAAGUGAUAGAGUUGAAUGAUUGAUUCAGUUUUCAAGUAACUGAGCUUCUAGAUCUUUGUUCAUCAUUGGACCUGAGGCAUGAUGCCUUUAGCAAGUCAAAGAUAUGUAGACUAGUGGAGAAAUUCUAUCUUGCAGAUUUUUCUAGUCAAGAAAGAGAUCGGUUGGAGUGCGAGCUACGACAUUUCCAGCUUGACUAUCCAAUGGUUGAAAGGUUGUUACGAUUAGUGAUAACUCUCCCGGUGUCAACUGCAACAGCAGAGCGAGCCUUUUCUGCAAUGAAACUAGUCAAGACACGACUUCAAAGCAGAAUGAGAGAUGAUUUUCUUUGCCAUUGCACGCCAGCUUACAUUGAUAAGGAACUUGCAGCCAAGUUUAACUCUGAAGAAAUAAUCGAUAUCUUCGAUACUAGUGCUCGUAAAGUAGAAUUCAAAUUGAUAGAAUUGUAA
rnacentral:rRNA from 1 species